CUACAAACCACCUGGUGCUGGU
rnacentral:miRNA from 1 species